rnacentral:rRNA from 1 species
UGCAUGGUUGUCGUCAGCUCGUGUCGUGAGAUGUUGGGUUAAGUCCCGCAACGAGCGCAACCCUUGUCUUUAGUUGCCAUCAUUAAGUUGGGCACUCUAGAGAGACUGCCAGGGAUAACCUGGAGGAAGGUGGGGAUGACGUCAAAUCAUCAUGCCCCUUAUGCUUAGGGCUACACACGUGCUACAAUGGGUAGUACAGAGGGUUGCCAAGCCGUAAGGUGGAGCUAAUCCCUUAAAGCUACUCUCAGUUCGGAUUGUAGGCUGAAACUCGCCUACAUGAAGCUGGAGUUACUAGUAAUCGCAGAUCAGAAUGCUGCGGUGAAUGCGUUCCCGGGUCUUGUACACACCGCCCGUCACACCACGGGAGUUGGAGACGCCCGAAGCCGAUUAUCUAACCUUUUGGAAGAAGUCGUCGAAGGUGGAAUCAAUAACUGGGGUGAAGUCGUAACAAGGUAGCCGUAUCGGAAGGUGCGGCUGGAUCACCUCCUUU